rnacentral:rRNA from 1 species
UACAGAGGGUGCAAGCGUUGUUCGGAAUUAUUGGGCGUAAAGGGUGCGUAGGUGGGUUGGUAAGUCAGUGGUGAAAUACUUUCGCUUAACGAAGGAACUGCCAUUGAUACUACCAGUCUUGAAUACAGUGGAGGUAGGCGGAAUGCGUCAUGUAGCGGUGAAAUGCUUAGAUAUGACGCAGAACACCAAUUGCGAAGGCAGCUUGCUACACUGUUAUUGACACUGAGGCACGAAAGCGUGGGGAUCAAACAGG